rnacentral:lncRNA from 1 species
UCGCCGGUUCGGUAUUUUCGAAAGAAGAAGGGAGGGGAAUCUUUGAUUCUCUAUUUCUUCGGACCCUUCAACAUAUUUUGAAAAUAUCGAACCAAAUCUGUCGGCCGAACAGAUCCGUUCCACCGUCUUUAUCUUCACCGACGACAUUUCCAACAUCGCCGGUUUAAUAUUUUCGAAAGAAGAUGGGAGGGGAAUCAAAGAUUCCCCGUUUCUUCGGACCCUUCAAUCCCUUUUGAAAAUAUUGAACCAAAUUCGCCGACCGAACAGAUCCGGACUACCGUCAUCAUCUUCGCCGCCGUCAUCUCCAACCUUAUCGGUUUGGUGCUUUCGAAAGAAGAGGGGAGGGGAAUCAAAGAUUCCCUGUUUCUUCGGACCCUUCAAUCUCUUUCGAGAACAUUGAAUCAAUCCACAAAACACUCAAACCGUUUCAGAUUCAAUCCAAAUCAUAAAUCAAACGGGGAUUUCUUCGGACCCCAAAUCAAAUCUAAUUGGAAAAUCAAACGGGGAUUUCUUCGGACCUCAAAUCAAGAUCAAGCAGGGAUUUCUUCGGACCCCAAAUCAAAAUCAAAACGGGAAUUUCUUCGGACCCCAAAUCAAGAUCAAGCGGGAAUUUUUUCAGACCCCAAAUCGAAAUCAAAACGGGAAUUUCUUCGGACCCCAAAUCAGAUCUAAUUGAAAAAUCAAAAAGGGAUUUCUUCGGACCCGAAAUCCAAAUC